UAGCUCAGUUGGUAGAGCAUCUGACUUUUAAUCAGAGGGUCAGAGGUUCAAGUCCUC
rnacentral:tRNA from 1 species